UAUCUCGUUUCAUUAUAUUACUUAACUUAUAAUAAUUUGCCAAACAUCAGUUAUCUACAUGUUCAAGAUACAGAAAAGCGUCUAAAUUAUACGAAGAUGGACAACUACGCCGCUGUAUUGUACGGGCCCAAAGAUUUAAGAAUCGAAAAUUUGCCGAUUCCAGAAAUCAACGAUAAUGAGGUGCUGGUCAAGAUAUCGUGCGUGGGCAUCUGCGGCACCGACGUGAAGAUGUAUAGCACCGGCAAGUGCGGGCUGGAGGUGCCCACCGAGCCUAUGGUGAUGGGCCAUGAGGGU